AAAAAGCGGAGGAAAAGAAACCAACAGGGAUUGCCUCAGUAACGGCGAGUGAAGCGGCAAAAGCUCAAAUUUGAAAUCCCCCGGGAAUUGUAAUUUGAAGAGAUUUGGGUCCGGCCGGCGGGGGUUAAGUCCACUGGAAAGUGGCGCCACAGAGGGUGACAGCCCCGUGAACCCCCUCAACGCCUUUAUCCCAGGUCUCCAAGAGUCGAGUUGUUUGGGAAUGCAGCUCUAAGUGGGUGGUAAAUUCCAUCUAAAGCUAAAUACCGGCGAGAGACCGAUAGCGAACAAGUACAGUGAUGGAAAGAUGAAAAGCACUUUGAAAAGAGAGUGAAAAAGUACGUGAAAUUGUUGAAAGGGAAGGGCUUGCAAGCAGACACUUAACUGGGCCAGCAUCGGGGCGGCGGGGAGCAAAACCACUGGGGAAUGUACCUUUCGAGGAUUAUAACCCCGGUCCUUACUCCCUCACCAUCCCGAGGCCUGCAAUCUAAGGAUGCUGGCGUAAUGGUUGCAAGUCGCCCGUCUUGAAA
rnacentral:rRNA from 1 species